GUAACGCGGUUGCGAAGCUUCUGGUAUAGCAUGCAUCUAUAUGUUACGGUAACCGCUUACCAUCAUGUGAGCCGUACGCUUGUUUGCCGAUCUAGUGAUAUAAAAAAAAAAGUGAAACAAAAUUGUUAGCAAUUUUGUACAAUAGUAUUUUAAGUUUAGUAAUAUACAUAUUUCGUAAAUUUA